AGAGUUUGAUCCUGGCUCAGGAUGAACGCUGGCGGCGUGCCUAAUACAUGCAAGUCGAACGGGAGCACUUGGCAACGAGUGGGAGAGUGGCGAACGGGUGAGUAACACAUGGCUGACCUGCCCCUCAGAGGGGGACAACGGCUGGAAACGGCUGCUAAUACCCCGUGAGCUGGCCGAGGUUAGAGGCUUGGUCAGGGAAGGGCGCGGAAGCGUCUGCUGAGGGAGGGGGCGGUGGCCCAUCAGCUAGUUGGCAGGGUAAUGGCCUACCAAGGCAAGGACGGGUAGGGGGCCUGAGAGGGUGGUCCCCCACACUGGCACUGAGAGACGGGCCAGACUCCUACGGGAGGCAGCAGUAAGGGAUAUUGCGACAAUGGGCGCAAGCCUGACGCAGCAACGCCGCGUGCGGGAGGACAGCCUUCGGGUUGUAAACCGCUUUUCUGCGUGAAGAGGCAGGACGGUAACGCAGGAAGAAGUCUCGGCUAACUACGUGCCAGCAGCCGCGGUAAAACGUAGGAGGCGAGCGUUAUCCGGAUUUACUGGGUGUAAAGCGCGUGCAGGCGGUGCGGUAAGUGGUGUGUGAAAGCGCCCUGGCUCAACCGGGCGAGGACGGACGAAACUGCCGCACUGGAGGCGGGUAGAGGCGUGUGGAAUUCCGGGUGUAGUGGUGAAAUGCGUAGAGAUCCGGAGGAACACCAGUGGCGAAGGCGGCACGCUGGGCCCGGCCUGACGCUCAGACGCGAAAGCAUGGGGAGCGAACGGGAUUAGAAACCCCGGUAGUCCAUGCUGUAAACGAUGCCGACUAGGUGUGGGAGCUGCGAGGCUGCCGUGCCGAAGCUAACGGGUUAAGUCGGCCACCUGGGGACUACGGCCGCAAGGUUAAAACUCAAAGGAAUUGACGG
rnacentral:rRNA from 1 species